CAUAGCAGACAAACAUAAUACGACAAGGGAUUUACUCUGAGACAUUGAAAUAUGUUCAAGUAUCUAAUGGAGUAAAAUUUGAAUGAAAAAUGGUGAAGACAUGAAAAAUUCACAACAAUAAAUCAGCAAAGAUGAUUUCGACGUAUUUGUCUAAGAAGAAAUACGCAUGGAAUGCUUCAACCAAGAAGAUCCAGUGCAGGGAGUAUACAGCUCUCACAUAUGUCGCAGGGGCACCAGCUGCUGUUCACCAGUGCUGACCUACCUCCACAUUCGCACACCUAUGCUACAAGAAUUCUAUGCCGGGUGACAGCUGAAGUGCUGGAGUUGGUCACCUUGGGCGCAUCUUUCAAAAUAGCACAGCUUGCUUGUGGCAUUGUUGCCAACUCAUUUUUCAUCAUGUGCCUGCACAACAUGGAAAUGUACCCAUGUCAGCCUGAAAGGCCGGCCCUACAGAAGUGAAAAACUUUAUAAUUAAGGAAUAAAGCCAGUUAAAGCAGAAGUUGAUACAUGCAGACUGUGCUAUGCUUCUUGGAGAACUGAAGGAGGACUAACAAUGUG